CAUGUGGCAUGAUGGCAGAAAGU
rnacentral:miRNA from 1 species